rnacentral:pre_miRNA from 1 species
UGUGGGAUUGCUGGGUCACAUAGUAUUUUAUGUUUAGGUUUAUAAGAAACUGUCAAACUUUUUUACAAACUAGCUAUACCAUUUUGCAUUCUUACCAGCUAU